ensembl:lncRNA FTX FTX transcript, XIST regulator
AGUGAGGUUAUUAGAGAAUUGGGAGAGGCUCAAAUCAGCAUCCUGCACCUAGUUAUCAAACCAUUGUGAAGUCUUGGUAAGUGGCCAGUGGCUUUGGUGGGCUUGCCCAGUUAGUGGGAUGGGGUAGGGUAAGAGUGCUUAAUAGGCACUAAGCAAUUACUGGAUAUUUUCACAUUAUGAUAUGAAAAAAAAGUCUUAAAAUAUUCAGGCUGUACUACAGAAUAAAGAGUCUAACCUCUUUUUUCCCUAUUCUCCCAUUUUUAUAGAUGGGGGAAUUAGAAAUUGCCCAAGAUUAUAUGAGACCACAGUAGAUGGCACAAAUUGCCCAAGAUUAUAGCUAGUUGGCAUAGAAAAUGGAUUUGAGUCCAAGCCAGUACUGUGUCUUCUACUCAGUGCUUCAUCUAGGUUCUAUCAAAUCCAAGGAAGCCAUGUGAGACAAAAAUGUUUUUAUUUCACAGUAAAAGAUUUUUUUUUCUUUUUCUUUUUUUUAAAUUAGAGAUGGGGGUCUUAAACUAUGUUGCCCAGGCUGUUCUUGAACACCUGGGCUCAAGUGAUCCACACACCUUGGACUCAUUUCACACUAAAAGAUUCUGUAAUAGCUCCUGAGAUUUUACUCCUCUGAUGUUGGAAAUUUCCAUAGUGUGAAGUUUUGUUAUGCAUAAAAUCACCUGGGGUGCUUGUUAAACAUGCAGAUUCCUGGAUGGCCAGAAAACUUGUCAUUGGUCAAGAGCAACAUUAAGAUCUGCCUGUUACUCAUACUGAUGCUUCCUGCCCAGCAAGUUCAUCAGAGGGCGAGGAUGAAUUACGGUUGCCAUGAAUGUCCUUGUGAGGCAGUUGGGAAGCCUUGGCUGGAUUGUGAAGGAUAUUUGAAAAGUAUUUUAGAGUCCACCAGAUCAUCCAUGUGAGUGACCAUGCAGCAAAAGAAGGAGGGUCCUCUCAGUGAUUAAGGUAACAUAGUGAUUAAGGUAAGUAGGGAAAGAGAGGCUUACUUUGCCCUGAUUCUUGUCAGGGAGGCUCUUAGAGAUGCCAUUUCCAGAGCAUAAGUGACAGGCCAGCAUUUUCAAAGCUUGCAACUUAUUCUAUAAUAUAUCCUUCUUAAAACAAUUCAUGUAGAUUAUAUGCUCACCCAGUCUGGGAUCACUCCUGCAGAAGAUCAGAAGAACUGAAAUAUAGGUGACAUAAGCUCCUGCUUUUGUAAAUGUUUUGUUGAAACACAGUUGUGUUCAUCCAUUAUUGUCGAUGGCAGCUUUCAUGCUACAGCAGAGUUGAGUAGUUGGGAGAGAAACCAAAUGGACCAUAGAGUUUGAAAUAUUACUGUCUGGCCCUUCACAGAAAGUUUGCCAAUUCCUGGCAUAGGUUAAAUAAAUGUACUAUAUCCACAAAUCCUCCUCUCCCCAUUUUCCUUUCAAUGGGACUUGCAUUUACAGUUGAUCCUAGAAUGUAUGGAAUCUCAUAGUAAUCAGCUUGCUUCUGAAUUUCUUCCCACUCAAAUUAAGCUCACUCAGAAAGCACAUUCACAAAUUGGGCUACAUAUACAGAAGGAGCUAUGUUUUAUAUGCCUCACUGUAGUCAACUCAUUUAUCCUAUAUGUAUGGUUCCCCCAUUUUUUCCUUCUUUUCAGGGGUAACUUUUAAACUUGAGCCAUUCAUGAGUAUCCAAAAA